rnacentral:rRNA from 1 species
GUCCAGCAUUGAGUAUGGUCACUGGAUUUGGCCCAGAGAGGGUGAAAGGCCCGUACGGGUGGAGGUUCAGACAUGUAAGGCAGUUCACCAGGUCGACCUUAGAGUCGGGUUGUUUGGGAAUGCAGCCCAAAGCGGGUGGUAAACUCCAUCCAAGGCUAAAUACAGACACGAGUCCGAUAGCGAACAAGUACCGUGAGGGAAAGUUGAAAAGUACUCUGAAGAGAGAGUAAACAGUACGUGAAACCGCAUGCAGGUAAACGGGUGGCGUCAAGCUGCAAGCCCAGAGGAUUCAGCCGGUUAGGAUGUUGUGUAUGCGCCUGGCGCAUCUAUCAGUCAGAGUAUGAUUGGAUAGUCCACCAGUAGACGGUGGGCCUGACCGCAAGGUUGGGAUAUGUGUACCGGGUGGGUGCCGGAGCAUGCUAUCCGUCUGAGGACUGUCUAAUCGGUGCACUUUCUCUGUGGUGAACACCACGACCGGUGGUAUUGCCAGUCUGCUGUGUCCAAGUCGUGUUUGGUAGGUCCUUGUGGCCAACUGGAUGCGAUCACAGGCAAAUUUAGUAAACGGCGUAGAGGUGUUUCGGCAUCUCUGCGUGUUAUCGGCUACUAGUUGUCAACGGGCCUGCUCGAUGUUUGUUGUAACUGGCAUCGAGUGGUCUGGUGGGGCAUGGUGGUAAGAAUAACUGUGCAAGGCACCGGAGUUAUCGGCCUCAAAUGCAUUCU